rnacentral:misc_RNA from 1 species
ACUUACGAGUCACCAAUGUUGGGCAUGACAUACCAAACUCUAUAAAAAUACCCGAUUAACUCUUAAUUACAUAUGCAGUAUUGAGAAGACACUACAAAAUUGGAUGAAAUGGCGAUAGAUCAAGUUUUGCAGCAUCCAUUUAGUGAUAAAUUUGAAAAAGGAAUAUCAUCAGUGCUUCCAUUCUUAUCAGGGUAGUUUUUCUCCUCCAGGCCCCGUGUUAGAGGAUCAUUUAUAUCAUGCUAGAAUCCACUGGAUAACUCCCCAAAACUCGUAAGAAAGUCGCAAACUCCUUCAGGUGCUUGAGGGCAUUCUGUGCAUUCUGGUCGGCCAUUGAUGCCUCAAAAUCCACAUAGAAAAGAUAGUCAAAGUAUCUGUUUGGAAACCCAUUGUCGCUAUCAUCAGAUGCUCUCAAGGGCUGAUUCCGCAAUGGACGACUCUCAAUCUUAGUAAGGUUGAUUUGCCACAAAGCAAAAACAGCAAGUGCUUUGAAUAGCACUCCAGGACCCUCCUCAAGUGAAAAAACAAUGCUCGUCUUGAAUGGCCUGUCCGUUCCUGGAAUUAUUGGCUCCCUGGCUAGCAUCAGAAACCGAGUAACAUUAUCACAAUCAUCCUGAAUAUCUUCAGCUAAUAUAUUCAACCCAUAAAUCUUUGCAGCCACAGAACUAGCAACAGCUCCUGUGUCUUUCAGUUUGUGAAGCGCAACAUGCUUUGCUGCACCAGCAGUAUCAUCCACUGCUUCUCUAACCAAUCCCAAACUUGUUAAUGUAUGCUCACAUUGAGC